rnacentral:lncRNA from 1 species
AUAUCAUAAAGAGUUCAAAAGGUCAAUACAAAUUCGAUACAAAAUAUGCUUUUGAUAUUUUGUCUUGCCGUUGCCUGACCGCUUGGCGUAAACAAUUGGCGGAAAUCGGCGGUCGGUCGGUCGGAAGUCGGCUUACAACCGCUCAGCCAAUCACGACCUGAUCACGACACAGAUUUCAUGCUUGCGUGAGCAACAACAUAGCUACGAAUUCGACAAAAUGGCGGCCAACUACGAUCAAUGUCGGUUCGCGGAGUCUUUGGCGAAAUACGUAGCGGUUUGGAAUGACAAAUCGGCAGAUCAUGCAGAUAAAACAAAACGAAAAGCACAAAUGAAAGCCUUAGGUGAUGAAUUUGGUAUGACCCGUAAGUAUUGGAGUAUAAUUUGUUCAUUUAUAUGUAGUAUAUUUGUAUUGUAUUAUUAUAAAGCCCAUUUCGACAUGGCUGGCGUGACCUUUAAGAGCAAAUUGGCGUGUUUUGUGUGCA